rnacentral:rRNA from 1 species
GAUGAACGCUGACAGAAUGCUUAACACAUCAGCAAUUGAUUGGUGGCGGACGGGUGAGUAACGCGUAUAGAACGUGCCUCACAGGUAGGGACAACAUUAGGAAACGAAUGCUAAUACCUAAUACUGUGAGAGAGCUUUGCGUCCCAUUAGCUAGUUGGAGAGGUAACGGAUCACCAAGGCGAUGAUGGGUAGCCGGCCUGAGAGUGUGAUCGGCCACAAGGGGACUGAGACACGGCCCUUACUCCUACGGGGGGCAGCAGUGGGGAAUAGUGGACAAUGGACCAAAGUCUGAUCCAGCAAUUCGGUGUGCACGAUGAAGUUGUCGGAAUGAAAAGUGCUUUCAGUUGGGAAGCGGUACCAACAGAAGAAGUGACGGCUAAAUACGUGCCAGCAGCCGCGGUAAUUC